GUGGCAGGGGAGCUGGGGGCUCCCCGGCGGAAGUAGCGCGAGAGGCUGGACAGCAGCGUGCUCUACAAGAAAAAAAGUGGCUUGGAGAGUCAAGAAAUGAAGGUGGAGCUUGGGAAGCUAGCGUGAGGUAUUCCAGGACCUCAUGGCAUAGGACGCUUACCUGAAGGCAAGCAGGCACUGACAAGAAGGCUCUGGCCUCGGGCUUGCCUCUCCUGGCACAGCCUCACCUCUUCCACUGCCGGA
rnacentral:lncRNA from 1 species